CCCCACUGCUAUCGGGAUGGGACUAAGACAUGCCAGUCGAGCGUCUCCAAGCUAUGGAAGAGACGCGGCACACAGCUCAGUAACACGUGGCUAACCUGCCCUUGGGACAAGGACAACUCCGGGAAACUGGGGCUAAUCCCUGAUAAGUGAGAACUCCUGGAAUGGAUUCUCGCUCAAAGGACGUUUAGACCAUGCUUCUAGGCGUCGCCCAAGGAGGGGGCCGCGGCCGAUCAGGUUGUUGGUGAGGUAACGGCUCACCAAGCCUUUAACCGGUACGGGCCGUGAGAGCGGAAGCCCGGAGAUGGGCACUGAGACAAGGGCCCAGGCCCUACGGGGCGCAGCAGUCGCGAAAACUCCGCAAUACACGAAAGUGUGACGGGGCCAUCCCGAGUGCCAUCCGCUGAGGAUGGCUUUUCCCCAGUGUAUAAAGCUGGGGGAAUAAGGAGAGGGCAAGCCUGGUGUCAGCCGCCGCGGUAAUACCAGCUCUCCGAGUGGUGGGGAUGUUUAUUGGGCCUAAAGCAUUCGUAGCCUGCUUGGCAAGUCCUCCGUUAAAUCCAACGAUUCAAUCGUUGGGCUGCGGGGGAUACUGUCCAGCUAGGGGGCGGGAGAGGCCGACGGUAUCCCCGGGGUAGGGGUGAAAUCCUAUAAUCCCGGGAGGACCACCAGUGGCGAAGGCUGUCGGCUAGAACGCGCUCGACGGUGAGGGAUGAAAGCUGGGGGAGCGAACCGGAUUAGAUACCCGGGUAGUCCCAGCUGUAAACGAUGCAGGCUAGGUGUUGGCGCGGCUACGUGCCGCUCCAGUGCCGCAGGGAAGCCGUUAAGCCUGCCGCCUGGGAAGUACGGCCGCAAGGCUGAAACUUAAAGGAAUUGGCGGGGGAGCACCACAAGGUGUGAAGCUUGCGGUUUAAUUGGAUUCAACGCCGGG
rnacentral:rRNA from 1 species